rnacentral:sRNA from 1 species
GCGGCCGCCGCCCGCCGCCGCCUGCGCCUCCAGCUCCUUCGCCCCGGCGGGCCCGGCCGCCGCUUCCGGCAGCUCACCUGGGACGCGCUCACCUGGGACGCGCUACCUGCCUCCGGGCGCCUGGGCUUCAGGAUGAAGGACCGUCUGGAGCAGCUGAAGGCCAAGCAGCUGACACAGGAUGAUGAUACUGAUGAGGUUGAGAUUGCUAUCGACAACACGGCUUUUAUGGACGAGUUCUUUUCUGAGAUUGAGGAAACUCGGCUUAACAUUGACAAGAUCUCAGAACAUGUAGAGGAGGCUAAGAAACUCUACAGUAUCAUUCUCUCUGCACCGAUUCCAGAGCCAAAAACCAAGGAUGACCUAGAGCAGCUCACGACUGAGAUUAAGAAAAGGGCCAACAACGUCCGGAACAAACUGAAGAGUAAGAAGGGAACAAAGAAAACAAGGCCGUCCCCACCACCAUCUAUCUCAGCUCCCCUAGGGUCCAGCUUUCCGAACUGAAACUCCUCUUGAUGGAAGUGACACCACUUGGUCCAUCUUUGCUUGUGGUUUGGGCUCUGUCCCCGCAAUGAUCCAUUGUAGCCCCAGAAAUUUACCUUUUCUUAAAUCCUGACUGUACUGGAAAGAGUCCAGAAUUGAAGCUAGGAGAUGAGAAUUAAAAUGUGCUUUCAGCUG